UACGUAGGGUGCGAGCGUUAAUCGGAAUUACUGGGCGUAAAGCGUACGCAGGCGGCUUUGCAAGACAGGUGUGAAAUCCCCGGGCCUAACCUGGGAACUGCAUUUGUGACUGCAUGGCUAGAGUUUGUCAGAGGGGGGUGGAAUUCCACGUGUAGCAGUGAAAUGCGUAGAUAUGUGGAGGAACACCGAUGGCGAAGGCAGCCCCCUGGGAUGUGACUGACGCUCAUGUACGAAAGCGUGGGGAGCAAACAGG
rnacentral:rRNA from 1 species